rnacentral:misc_RNA from 1 species
AAGUCGUAACAAGGUUUCCGUAGGUGAACCUGCGGAAGGAUCAUUAUUGAAAAUAAAGGGUUGUCUGCUGGCCUCUCGGGGCACGUGCACGCCCAAAUCCACAACACACCUGUGAACCCACCGUAGGCCCUCGGGCUUAUGUAUAUCAUAUACUCUGAUCAUAAGUAAAAUUGAUUUUGCCAAUUAAAACUUUGGCCUAAAAAUCGGCAAAAUGAAACUAACA